ACGUUUUCUAUUCAUAAUUUGCAAUUGAUCUUGCCGCCCAAUUAUCCUAUCUCUGAUUCAAUUCGGUUUGCUGAGUUUUUGAAUUGACUUGUUGUUUUGUGUUCAAUUGUCAGAUUCGGCUGAUUGGAUUAUUUCUUGAAGUUCAAUUUCGUGUUCUUGGCUUCCAAGAAUCCCCUAUUAAUAAGUGUUUCGAUUCUUGGCUGAUUCUUUAUUGUUUUGGGGUUUUUGUUUCAGAUUUGGAAUUCUAAGAUUUAACUUUUCUGUUUCGUUUCAGAUCUCAGCGUCUAAAGCUUUCGUAGGAUUUUCCCAUGACUUGACAACUCGAUCUUGGUCCACGCGCAACCCUCUAUCACAACAUAACUUACUUUAUAAAGUAAUGUACGUUAGUCAUUAUCCAACUGAAUUGAUGUUUAGUUAACUCGUGACGUAGGGGCGAAGUCAGAAUUUUUUCUAAAGGGGGAAGAGAUUAAGUUAUAUACUUUUAUAAGAGUUCAAAUGCAAUUUAACCCUUAUAUUGGCUUAUAUCUUCAUGGUUUUCAAAAGGACUAAAUUGAAAUUCUAGCAUUUUUAGGAGGUCAAACUAUAAUUUAUCACAUAUUGACUUAAAAUUUUAUAAAUUUUUGGGGGCCUAAAGAAGUAAUUUCUCAUUUUAGUUCGCUCAUGUCAUGACACUAACUUAGUUAAUGACUUAAUAUAUAGUAUAGAUGACAUUGUUACUAUUUUAAUUUAUUUUUUACGGUUUAACUUAGUUUCACCC
rnacentral:lncRNA from 1 species